GACGAACGCUGGCGGCGUGCUUAACACAUGCAAGUCGAACGGAAAGGCCCUGCUUUUGUGGGGUGCUCGAGUGGCGAACGGGUGAGUAACACGUGAGUAACCUGCCCUUGACUUUGGGAUAACUUCAGGAAACUGGGGCUAAUACCGGAUAGGAGCUCCUGCUGCAUGGUGGGGGUUGGAAAGUUUCGGCGGUUGGGGAUGGACUCGCGGCUUAUCCGCUUGUUGGUGGGGUAGUGGCUUACCAAGGCUUUGACGGGUAGCCGGCCUGAGAGGGUGACCGGCCACAUUGGGACUGAGAUACGGCCCAGACUCCUACGGGAGGCAGCAGUGGGGAGUAUUGCGCAAUGGGCGGAAGCCUGAUGCAGCAACGCCGCGUGCGGGAUGACGGCCUUCGGGUUGUAAACCGCUUUCGCCUGUGACGAAGCGUGAGUGACGGUAAUGGGUAAAGAAGCACCGGCUAACUACGUG
rnacentral:rRNA from 1 species